AUUUCUAAAUCGCUGAAACCUUAUGGUACGGGGGAACCGUUUUGUGGAUUGAUACAUAAUCCAAGGGGUGAAUCCUUACAAGGUAGGGCUACUCAAAGGCCCGAAUCCGACAGCUAACCUCGUAAGCGUUUUAUGAGAAGGAAG
rnacentral:sRNA from 1 species